rnacentral:lncRNA from 1 species
GGCUAAGGCACGGCCAGGAGGAGAAACAGUGGAAUGGAAGCGCGUGGUUGUGCAUUGCGGGCCGUCCCCAGGGCCUGGAGGACAGGGCGGAUCCAGGGCCGAGGAGACCAGAGCAGGAUUCUGGGAGGGCGCACAGGGGCACAUAGAGGGCAGAGCUGUGGCGGAUCCGCGGGCAGAGGCAUUUGCAGGAACCGAAGGAGCCUGAAGGACGGCCAAGCAGCUCUUUCCAGGUGAGCGGCCACACACAGCCGCACUCCUCGGGUCCCCCGGCUCGGCCCCGCCCCCGACCCAGCCNGAGUAAGGAGCCAGCUUCCCACCCAUUCCCAGCCAAGGUGAACAGGCUGCGAGUUUGUUGACAGAGAAAAAAGUCAUCAAUUUUUCAUUACCCAGUGAAGGCAACAGAAUGUCUCGGGAUGUCAACAGUUUCCAGGCAACAAAGACAAACCAAAUACACAGUCCCCUCACCUAAAAAGAUGUUUCCUUUACAACAUCAGCUUGGAUGGGGAGCCGGGGAAGACGAGAGGCAGAGGCAGGUGGUUCUAACCAAAACAGGAAGGAUGGCCCUUUCCGGAGCACUUUGUCAGGCCUGCAGGCUCCCAGGAUGUCUCCUUGUGUUUGCGUUGACAUUUCCCAGUGAAUGUCAAUGAAGACUCAAGAAUAAGUCAACACAGGUCCUCACGAUAAAUGCCAAAGCUUGUUAGCAGAGUAAACCGUGUGCUUAGCCUGUCUUAAAAGAAUCUUUGCUGGGUAAACAAAAGGAAGGCUUUACUUGAGAGUAAGCAGAGCGAAGAGCUGGGCGCGCCCGGAGGGCUGGUAGGUGACUUCACUGGCACAGGCUGUAGAGACAUCUUCACGGGGUCCGGAGGUCAGGGGCUUUAUCUGAUGUCACACAGGCCUCCCUCCCCAACAGCCAGCCUCUGAUCUUGCAAGGAGCCGCCUUGCUUGGGAAGGAGGCAGAAACUGCAUCUGAAAAGAGAAGCUAGGGACGGAUCUCCUUUGCUCAGAGGUGUCAAGGAACUAAUGUCUUAACCUUCCCUGAACCGUUUUUGUAUUUAGACACAAUUACAGGGGCACCUGUAAAAAAAAAAAAAAAAAAAAAAGUGGCUCAGUGGUUGAGCGUCUGCCUUUGGCUCAGGGCGUGAUCCCGCA